rnacentral:rRNA from 1 species
UAGGGGGCAAGCGUUAUCCGGAUUUACUGGGUGUAAAGGGAGCGUAGACGGCUGUGCAAGUCUGAAGUGAAAGCCCGCGGCUUAACCGCGGAACCGCUUUGGAAACUGUGCGGCUAGAGUGCUGGAGAGGUAAGCGGAAUUCCUGGUGUAGCGGUGAAAUGCGUAGAUAUCAGGAGGAACACCGGUGGCGAAGGCGGCUUACUGGACAGUCACUGACGUUGAGGCUCGAAAGCGUGGGGAGCAAA